GGGGGCAGCUCAGUUCGUGGAGCGUCUCGUUCGCAAUGAGAAGGCCAGGGAUUCGAAUCCCCUUACCUCCA
rnacentral:tRNA from 1 species